rnacentral:rRNA from 1 species
CCUACGGGAGGCUGCAGUGGGGAAUUUUCCGCAAUGGGCGAAAGCCUGACGGAGCAACGCCGCGUGAUCGAAUGAAGGCCUUCGGGUUGUAAAGAUCUGUUGACAGGGACGAAUAAGCCAUGCGAAUAGUUUGGUGUAUGACGGUACCUGUUUAGAAAGCUCCGGCUAACUACGUGCCAGCAGCCGCGGUAAUACGUAGGGAGCAAGCGUUGUCCGGAAUUACUGGGCGUAAAGGGCGCGUAGACGGUGCAGCAAGUCUGAUGUGAAAGGUCGGGGCCCAACCCCGGGACUGCAUUGGAAACUGUUGAACUGGAGUACAGGAGAGGUAAGCGGAAUUCCUAGUGUAGCGGUGAAAUGCGUAGAUAUUAGGAGGAACACUCGUGGGGAAGGCGGGUUCCUGGACAUUAACUGACGCUGAGGCACGAAGGCCAGGGGAGCGAAAGGGAUUAGAUACCCGUGUAGUC